rnacentral:lncRNA from 1 species
UAGUUAACGUGUGAUUCAGUCCUUCUAUCGUGAGUCCCGACUAGAUGGAAAGUCAUGGAUAAAUCGUCAAAGCUCAACAUCAGUCAUAUGAUAGAUUCAAUUAGCUCAAGUCCAGUUGUGACUUCUAUGAAAACUCUUUUACAUCAAUCACACUACUGUGGCCACAGAUUCUCAGACUUAGCUUCUCAAAUUUCAUAGAACUACUCCUUUCUACCAAAAUUGAUAGAUCCCAUCUUGAUGUGCACCCUACCCCUACAUUGGACUAACUAUCACCAACAUCCACUACAAGGACUCAUUGAGACCCAUGUUUAUAUGUCAGUCAAACUCCAGCAGUCUCACUAUGGAUAGUAGUACAAUCUCAUAUCAAAAGAUCAUUCAUACAACUAC